AACGAGCGCAACCCUUAUCUUUAAUUGCCAGCAUUCAGUUGGGCACUUUAAGAGACUGCCGGUGUUAAACCGGAGGAAGGUGGGAUGACGUCAAGUCCUCAUGGCCUUAUGCUUAGGGCUACACACGUGCUACAAUGGGUGGUACAAAGAGAAGCCAACUCGCGAGAGCGCGCCAAUCUCAAAAAGACCAUCCUCAGUUCGGAUUGGAGUCUGCAACUCGACUCCAUGAAGUUGGAAUCGCUAGUAAUCGCGGAUCAGCAUGCCGCGGUGAAUACGUUCCCGGGCCUU
rnacentral:rRNA from 1 species